rnacentral:rRNA from 1 species
AUUGAACGCUGGCGGCAGACCUAACACAUGCAAGUAGAGCGAGCGGCGGACGGGUGAGUAAUGUCUGGGAAACUGCCUGAUGGAGGGGGAUCACUACUGGAAACGGUAGCUAAUACCGCAUACACUCCGAUGUGAACAGCUGGGAUGAGCUAGUAGGUGGGGUAACGGCUCAACUAGGCUACGAUCCCUAGCUGGUCUGGGAGGAUGACCAGCCACACUGGAACGGAGACACGGUCCAGAGUCCUACGGGAGGCAGCAGUGGGGAAUAGUGCACAAUGGGCGAAAGCCUGAUGCAGCCAUGCCGCGGGUGUGAAGAAGGCCUUCGGGUUGUAAAGCACUGUCAGCGGGGAGGCGUUACCCGCAGAAGAAGCACCGGCUAACUCCGUGCCAGCAGCCGCGGUAAUUC